UUUAUCCAUUCAUCCAUCGAUGGACAUUUGGGCUCUUUCCAUACUUUGGCUAUUGUGGAUAGUGCUGCUAUAAACAUUGGAGUGCAUGUGCCCCUUCGAAACCAAAUACCUGUAUGCCUUGGAUAAUUACCUAGUAGUGCAAUUGCUGGUUGUAGGGUAAUUCUAUUUUUAAUAUUUUGAGGAACCUCCAUACUGUUUUCCAUAGUAGGUGC